rnacentral:tRNA from 1 species
GAGAACGUGUUUCGACAUUAUGGGGCAGCAUCCGGUAAAGUAAGACGUGCUGAGCGCUAGGGAGGGAUCUAGCCCCCGACCUCCGGCUUACAAGGCCGGCGCUCUAUGCUGAGCUACUAGGGCAGUUUCAUUC